UACGUAGGGAGCAAGCGUUGUCCGGAUUUAUUGGGCGUAAAGAGCUCGUAGGCGGCUUAGCAAGUCAGAUGUGAAAAACUCCAGGCUCAACCUGGAGACGCCAUUUGAUACUGCUAUGGCUUGAGUUCGGUAGGGGUAAGCGGAAUUCCUGGUGUAGCGGUGAAAUGCGCAGAUAUCAGGAGGAACACCGAUGGCGAAGGCAGCUUACUGGGCCGAUACUGACGCUGAGGAGCGAAAGCGUGGGGAGCGAACAGG
rnacentral:rRNA from 1 species